UACAGAGGAGCCAAGCGUUGUCCGGAUUGACUGGGCGUAAAGCGCACGCAGGCGGUCGCGCGCGUGGGGGGUGAAAUCUGGCCGCUUAACGGCCAGGCGCCAUCCCAUACGGCGCGACUGGAGUGAUGCAGAGGUCGGUGGAAUUGCCGGUGUAGCGGUGAAAUGCGCAGAUAUCAGGAGGAACACCGGUGGCGAAGGCGGGUCUCUGGGCCGAUACUGACGCUGAGGAGCGAAAGCGUGGGGAGCGAACAGG
rnacentral:rRNA from 1 species